AUGGCGGAAGCUCUUGCUCUCAAGUUUGGUUUAACUCUGGCGCAAAGGGCGGGAUGUAAUCGCCUUAUUAUUAACUCAGAUAACCUGGAGGUAAUUUAUACUAUGCAGGAUGGAGGACAAUCAGCGGGCGUGGCAGCAGCAAUCUUCGACGAUUGUUUUCAUUACGCUUGUGAUUUUAGUAUUGAUAGAUUCGAACAUUGUAAUAGAGAAGCAAAUAAAGUAGCUCAUGAGCUUGCUAAAUUAGCUAGAUUUUCUUUGACUUCUGUCUGGUUUGAGGAACCUGUAGAUGAGAUUGUAAUGAUCCUCAUGAACGAUGUACUUCUUAUAUCUAAUGAAUAA
rnacentral:rRNA from 1 species